CACCAGGUUGAUUCUGCCUGACGUAGACGCUAUUCCCUAAGAUUAACCCAUGCAUGUUUUUGACAUUUGAAAAAUGGACUGCUCAGUAAUACUCACUUUAUUUUAUGUAAAUUUUUAAUUAACUACGUUAAAGUGUAGAUAAGAUGUUUACAGUAAGAGUGAGACCUAUCAGCUAGUUGUUAAGGUAAUGGCUUAACAAGGCUGUGACGGGUAACGGUAUUACUUUGUAAUAUUCCGGAGAAGGAGCCUGAGAGACGGCUACUAAGUCUAAGGAUUGCAGCAGGGGCGAAACUUGACCUAUGGAUUUUAUCUGAGGCAGUUAUGGGAAGUAAUAUUAUAUUGUUUCAUAUUUUAAAAGUAUAUGAGGUGAUUAAUUGGAGGGCAAAUCAAGUGCCAGCAGCCGCGGUAAUACUUGUUCCAAGAGUGUGUAUAAUGAUUGAUGCAGUUAAAAAGUCCGUAGUUUAUUUUUUAAGAAGCAAUAUGAGGUGUACUGUAUAGUUGGGAGAAAGAUGAAAUGUGACGACCCUGACUGGACGAACAGAAGCGAAAGCU
rnacentral:rRNA from 1 species